rnacentral:snoRNA from 1 species
CAGCAUCCUCUGAUAGACCAUGAGCAUUCUUUCUGUUGCUUUCUGGUUUGCACUAAGAUGCAAAAAUGACUUCCUUGCGCUUUCUGCCUGCCUGACUGUGGCAGCUCAGAUUGAAUUAGGGAAUACACAA